rnacentral:sRNA from 1 species
AGAGCGUGUUAAAUAGGGCAAAAGAGCUCGAUCACCACCAGCGCCGUGGUGGUAUAGAGGGUACGAAUCACCCAAUCCAAUCCCCCCAACAUAAACAAGCACAGCCUUCAGCUGUAGCAUUAUGAACGGACUACGUCUGUACCGGUCUCAGACUGGUACCAAUAUUUGAAGGUGUGAUGAAACCUGGGCCUCAUUGGAAGCCGAUAAAAUUCCUCCAGAAUGUCAAGAGCCACCACAAUAGCUAAAUGAUCGAGAAUGCCGGCAACACAGUAGAUAAAUAUUUGUUAGCCAUUGCAAUAAGUACAUGUACAGUACAUAAAAGCAGCACAGACCCAGGCCAGGCGAGACAGCAUGCCUCAUACCAAAAAGAAAAGCGAAGAAGG